AUACCUAUAGAGACUGGACAUAUGCGCGGCUCAAUAGUGAACCUCAAAAUUCCACGAUCAUCGAACUACGGUGUUCUUCUACCCAUGCAAGGUGAUGUGAUCAUCCUAUAACCUGAUUUAAAUUGUUUAAAUCUAUUUUUCCUCUUAAUCUAAAUGCAUGAUUGAUCUGGCCACUAUCGAUAUUAGAUCUCAAUCGGAUCGCACG
rnacentral:lncRNA from 1 species